rfam:Ovis aries breed Texel chromosome 3, whole genome shotgun sequence.
UUCCUGGUGGUCCAGUGGCUAAGACUCCACACUCCCAAUGCAGGGGACCCAGGUUCUAUCCCUGGCCAGGGGA